rnacentral:rRNA from 1 species
CCACUUUGUGAUUCAUGACUGGGGUGAAGUCGUAACAAGGUAACCGUAGGGAACCUGCGGUUGGAUCACCUCCUUACCUUAAAGAA